rnacentral:rRNA from 2 species
UUAAAUUGAAGAGUUUGAUCAUGGCUCAGAUUGAACGCUGGCGGCAGGCCUAACACAUGCAAGUCGAGCGGAAACGACACUAACAAUCCUUCGGGU